rnacentral:rRNA from 1 species
CAGCACGGGAGCAAUCCUGGUGGCGAGUGGCGCACGGGUGCGUAACGCGUAUGCAAUCUACCUAUAACUGGGGAAUAGCCUUCCGAAAGGAAGAUUAAAACCGCAUAAUAUCACGAAACGGCAUCGCUUUGUGAUCAAAUCUCCGGAGGUUAUAGAUGAGCAUGCGUGACAUUAGCUAGUUGGUGAGGUAACGGCUCACCAAGGCGACGAUGUCUAGGGGGUCUGAGAGGAUGAUCCCCCACACUGGUACUGAGACACGGACCAGACUCCUACGGGAGGCAGCAGUAAGGAAUAUUGGACAAUGGCCGCAAGGCUGAUCCAGCCAUGCCGCGUGCAGGAUGAAGGUGCUCUGCAUUGUAAACUGCUUUUGUUUGGGAAUAAACCCCUCUACGUGUAGAGGGCUGAAUGUACCAAAAGAAUAAGGGUUGGCUAACUUCGUGCCAGCAGCCGCGGUAAU